GUUUUAAAUCACCUGCACGAUCUGUUCUUGAAAUGUCCUAAAUUUUCACCUAUUUCGGUAUAUAUUUCACAGCUGGAUGGCUUUAGGCGCGAUAAAACCCCGUUCGCAUCUCUUACAUUGUCUUACUAGUAUUAUUUAUUUCUAAAAAUAUACAUUUUAACUCAUUUUCUUCAUUUUCUUCAAAAAUAAAAAAUAAAUCGUCUGUUUAUUUAUCAUUCUACAUUAGAAAUUUAUGGCAUAUACAGUCAAAAUGAUAUUUUAUGAUCCGCACUUUACAUACACUGU
rnacentral:lncRNA from 1 species